GCACUAGUGGGUUAGUGGUAAACUUGGUCGUUGCCAUCUCUUGAUUUCGACCAGCCCCCGGUUCAAUUCCGGGCUAGUGCA
rnacentral:tRNA from 1 species